GAUGAACGCUGGCGGCGUGCCUAAUACAUGCAAGUCGAGCGAACAGACGAGGAGCUUACUCCUCUGACGUUAGCGGCGGACGGGUGAGUAACACGUGUAUAACCUACCUAUAAGACUGGGAUAACUUCGGGAAACCGGAGCUAAUACCGGAUAACAUGUUGAACCGCAUGGUUCAACAGUGAAAGACGGUCUUGUUGGCGCUUGUAGAUGGAUCUGCGUCUCAUUAGCUAGUUGGUGAGGUAGCGGCUUACCAAGGCUACGAUGCGUAGCCGGCCUGAGAGGGUGGCCGGCCACAGUGGGACUGAGAGACGGGCCAGACUGGUAAGGGAGGCAGCAGGGGGGAAUAUUGCACAAUGGGCGGAAGCGUGAUGCAGCAACGCCGCGUGCGGGAUGACGGCUUUCGGGUUGUAAAAAGCUUUCGCCGGUGACGAAGGGUGAGUGACGGUAAUGGGUAAAGAAGCACCGGCUAACUACGUG
rnacentral:rRNA from 1 species